rnacentral:rRNA from 1 species
CGCGUAGGCGGCCUGUUAAGUCUGGAGUGAAAGUCCUGCUUUCAAGGUGGGAAUUGCUUUGGAUACUGGCGGGCUGGAGUGCAGGAGAGGUUAGUGGAAUUCCCGGUGUAGCGGUGAAAUGCGUAGAGAUCGGGAGGAACACCAGUGGCGAAGGCGACUAACUGGACUGUAACUGACGCUGAGGCGCGAAAGUGUGGGGAGCAAACAGGAUUAGAUACCCUGGUAGUCCACACUGUAAACGAUGAAUGCUAGGUGUAGGGGGUAUCGACCCCUUCUGUGCCGGAGUAAACACAAUAAGCAUUCCGCCUGGGAGUACGGCCGCAAGGUUGAA